GAUGAACGCUGGCGGCGUGCCUAAUACAUGCAAGUCGAGCGAACAGACUAGGAGCUUGCUCCUCUGACGUUAGCGGCGGACGGGUGAGUAACACGUGGAUAACCUACCUAUAAGACUGGGAUAACUUCGGGAAACCGGAGCUAAUACCGGAUAAUAUAUUGAACCGCAUGGUUCAAUAGUGAAAGACGGUUUUGCUUUCACUUAUAGAUGGAUCCGCGCCGCAUUAGCUAGUUGGUAAGGUAACGGCUUACCAAGGCAACGAUGCGUAGCCGACCUGAGAGGGUGAUCGGCCACACUGGAAAUGAGACACGGUCCAGACUCCUACGGGAGGCAGCAGUAGGGAAUCUUCCGCAAUGGGCGAAAGCCUGACGGAGCAACGCCGCGUGAGUGAUGAAGGUCUUCGGAUCGUAAAACUCUGUUAUUAGGGAAGAACAAAUGUGUAAGUAACUAUGCACGUCUUGACGGUACCUAAUCAGAAAGCCACGGCUAACUACGUG
rnacentral:rRNA from 1 species